CCAGACUCCUACGGGAGGCAGCAGUGGGGAAUAUUGGGCAAUGGGCGCAAGCCUGACCCAGCAACGCCGCGUGAAGGAAGAAGGCUUUCGGGUUGUAAACUUCUUUUAUGAGAGACGAAAGAAAUGACGGUACCUCAUGAAUAAGCCACGGCUAACUACGUGCCAGCAGCCGCGGUAAUACGUAGGUGGCAAGCGUUAUCCGGAUUUACUGGGUGUAAAGGGCGUGUAGGCGGGACUGCAAGUCAGAUGUGAAAAUUAUGGGCUCAACCCAUAACCUGCAUUUGAAACUGUAGUUCUUGAGUGAUGGAGAGGUAAGAGGAAUUCCUAGUGUAGCGGUGAAAUGCGUAGAUAUUAGGAGGAACACCAGUGGCGAAGGCGUCUUACUGGACCGAAACUGACGUUGAGGCUCGAAAGCGUGGGGAGCAAACAGGAUUAGAUACCCCCGUAA
rnacentral:rRNA from 1 species